GCAUAUCAAUAAGCGGAGGAAAAGAAACCAACAGGGAUUGCCUCAGUAACGGCGAGUGAAGCGGCGACAGCUCAAAUUUGAAAUCUGGCCCCAGGCCCGAGUUGUAAUUUGCAGAGGAUGCUUUUGGUGAGGUGCCUUCCAAGUUCCCUAGAACGGGACGCCAGAGAGGGUGAGAGCCCCGUACAGUUGGACACCAAGCCUUUGUAAAGCUCCUUCGACGAGUCGAGUAGUUUGGGAAUGCUGCUCAAAAUGGGAGGUAUAUUUCUUCUAAAGCUAAAUACCGGCCAGAGACCGAUAGCGCACAAGUAGAGUGAUCGAAAGAUGAAAAGCACUUUGAAAAGAGGGUUAAACAGCACGUGAAAUUGUUAAAAGGGAAGCGCUUGUGACCAGACUUGCGUCCGGUGAAUCACCCAGCUCUCGCGGCUGGGGCACUUCGCCGGCUCAGGCCAGCAUCAGCUCGCUGUCGGGGACAAAAGCUUCAGGAACGUAGCUCUCUUCGGGGAGUGUUAUAGCCUGCUGCAUAAUACCCUUCGGCGGGCUGAGGUACGCGCUCCGCAAGGAUGCUGGCAUAAUGGUCAUCAGCGACCCGUCUUGAAACACGGACC
rnacentral:rRNA from 1 species